rnacentral:rRNA from 1 species
ACCAGAGGAGGCGAUCGUUAUUCGGAGUCAUUGGGCGUAAAGGGUACGUAGGCGGCUAGUCAAGUCUGAGGUUAAAGACCACAGCUUAACUGUGGGAAGGCCUUGGAAACUGACUGGCUAGAGUGGGGCAGGGGUUGCGGGAAUUCCCGGUGUAGCGGUGAAAUGCGUAGAUAUCGGGAAGAACACCUGAGGCGAAAGCGCGCAACUGGGCCCUAACUGACGAUGAGGUACGAAAGCUAGGGGAGAGAAUGGG